rnacentral:rRNA from 1 species
GAUGAACGCUGGCGGCGUGCCUAAUACAUGCAAGUCGAGCGAACAGACGAGGAGCUUGCUCCUCUGACGUUAGCGGCGGACGGGUGAGUAACACGUGGAUAACCUACCUAUAAGACUGGGAUAACUUCGGGAAACCGGAGCUAAUACCGGAUAAUAUAUUGAACCGCAUGGUUCAAUAGUGAAAGACGGUUUUGCUGUCACUUAUAGAUUGAUCCGCGCCGCAUUAGCUAGUUGGUAAGGUAACGGCUUACCAAGGCAACGAUGCGUAGCCGACCUGAGAGGGUGAUCGACCAAACGGGAACGAGGAGGAGGAGCAAAACCGUAAGGGAGGAAGGGAAAGGAAACCUUCGGGAAGGGGCAAAAGCGAAAAGGGGAAAAGGGGGGAAAGUUAUAACGGUCAACGGAUCGUAAAAGUUGAUUAUUGGGGAAGAAAAAAGUGGUAAGUCAAUGGACAAGAAUUAAAGGUCCGGAAGAAGAAAACCAGGGCAAACUAGGG